rnacentral:ncRNA from 1 species
AUAAAGACUAUGAAGGGGAGCGAGUAACCUGUCUUCCAGGCUGCAGAGAGCCGGGGUAGCUGCGAACCGGCGCCGGAGCAGGUGAAAGGAUCGCCCCGGAGUCGCCAGCUGAAAGGCGUCUCUUGCAGUAACGCUGAUUAAGCCGGGCCGGGUUGGUCACCCGUUACCAAAGCCGUGUCCUGGUAGGGACACAUAAGGGGUCCUUGCCGCGAGGCAAGGGCAAGCAGGGUGGUACCGCGCGAGGAUUUACCUCUCGUCCCUGGC